rnacentral:lncRNA from 1 species
AUCAACUAACUGGCCAACAGAUAUAAGAUUAGUAGACAACUUUGGGGACACAAAAACUGUAUUCAGAGAGGUUGAAAUAUCACCAACAGCAGUAAUAGGUAAAGAGUUACCAUCAGCAGUUUGAAUAUGAAGAUCCCCUUUAUACUUUUGAACAUUAUUUAGGGGUACUGUUGUGCUAGUCAUGUGAUUUGAAGCAGCGGAAUCAAAAUACCAAGGCUUAUGGGCAGAAUUUUUGUUACCUGAAAUUCCUAAAGUUGAAAAUGCAUUAACUAUCAUCUGCUGGAUCAUUUCAGGAGUAACAGAGGACUGACCAAAGUUCGGAGCAUUUGAGGAUCCAACUGAGACAUUGUAAGCAGUCUCAGAUUUCUUCGGAGGCCGGAUUGGACAAUCUUUAAUAGUAUGCCCAGCUUUCUUGCAAUAAUUGCAGAAUUUUUUAGUGCAAUUAGUAGCAACAUGUCCAAAUCCUUUGCAACUGUAGCAUUGGAUAUUACUCAUAUCUCUUCCACCUCUAUGCUUUCCUUGGGCAACAUAUGCAACAGGAAUUGGAGAAGAAUUCUGUGAUUUCUGAUCGAUGAAAGUUUGUGUCAUGAGCCGUUGUUCUUCUCGAAAAAGCUCACCUAUGCAAGUAUCGAUUGAAGGAACUGGAUUUCUAUUCAUGAGGUUGGACCUGACUGGUUCAAAAUCUCCCCGCAAUUUCAUUAAAAACUGAUCACGUUUGCUCGUCUCGUGUACACUUUGGACAGCAAAAGAACAUGAGAAUUUGGAUGUCCUAACCGCUUAUGCCACACUUGAUUAUUACAAUCAACGGCAUUACAAGAGACAUAAUUUGACACUAGAGAAGGUGAUGGGAGUAAAGGAAAGAGACGUCCCACUUUAGGCCCCUUCGCGAUCAUCUUCCCUGACACUUGAUCCUGCACAAAACAACCAGAAUUUGAAAAUUGAACGGUGCAAUUGUUAUCAACUAACUGGCCAACAGAUAUAAGAUUAGUAGACAACUUUGGGGACACAAAAACUGUAUUCAGAGAGGUUGAAAUAUCACCAACAGCAGUAAUAGGUAAAGAGUUACCAUCAGCAGUUUGAAUAUGAAGAUCCCCUUUAUACUUUUGAACAUUAUUUAGAGGUACUGUUGUGCUAGUCAUGUGAUUUGAAGCAGCGGAAUCAAAAUACCAAGGCUUAU